UACGUAGGGGGCAAGCGUUGUCCGGAUUUAUUGGGCGUAAAGAGCUCGUAGGCGGUUUCGUAAGUCGGGUGUGAAAACUCUGGGCUCAACCCAGAGACGCCACCCGAUACUGCGAUGACUAGAGUCUGGUAGGGGAUCGUGGAAUUCCUGGUGUAGCGGUGAAAUGCGCAGAUAUCAGGAGGAACACCAGCGGCGAAGGCGGCGAUCUGGGCCAGUACUGACGCUGAGGAGCGAAAGCGUGGGGGAGCGAACAGG
rnacentral:rRNA from 1 species